rnacentral:rRNA from 2 species
AACCCUUUCAGGGGUAAACGUGAGAAACCCAAAAGAUAGAAUGGGGAGAUUCAUCGUCAGCUCAUUUUGUAUAUAUAUGAGUUAUGAUAUGGGUUACUACUUGUAGUAUUGCCUGUACAUUCUUGUAUAUUUUAUUGCAAGAUGUUGUCGGCGUGCACUUCUCCCCUAGUAGGACGUCGCGACCCGUUGAGUGUCGGUCUACGGCCCGAGUGGUAGCCUUUAAUUCUUGUAAUUAAAGACCCUUGGUGUUUCCUGACUGACUGCUCGGCGGUAUUCGUACGGUAUUAAGCCGCAUUUAUGCGUUCAUAUCCGUCGCAAGCGCGGUCAAUUUUUGGUAGUACGGACCUAGUGCCGUCGCUAUAAUUGAUCAGCUGUUGGUUGUACGGUAUUCUAGAACUGGCUUAACAUAUACCGGUCUGCUAUGCUACUGCGUUGGGUACUUUUAGGAGC